CGGCUUACCAAGGCGAUGAUGCAUAGCCGAGUUGAGAGACUGAUCGGCCACAUUGGGGACUGAGACACGGGCCCAAAACUCCUACGGGAGGCAGCAGUAGGGAAUCUUCCACAAUGGACGCAAGUCUGAUGGAGCAACGCCGCGUGAGUGAAGAAGGUUUUCGGAUCGUAAAGCUCUGUUGUUGGUGAAGAAGGAUAGAGGUAGUAACUGGCCUUUAUUUGACGGUAAUCAACCAGAAAGUCACGGCUAACUACGUGCCCAGCAGCCGCGGGUAAU
rnacentral:rRNA from 1 species